CAACCCUCAGGCCCCCGGGCCUGGCGUUGGGGAUCGGCGAGGCGCCCCCUGCGGGCACACGCCGUCCCCCAAAUACAGUGGCGGUCCCGCCGCAGCUUCCAUUGCGUAGUAGCUAACACCUCGCAACUGGAGAGCGGCGCGGCCAUGCCGUAAAACACCCAACUUCUGAA
rnacentral:misc_RNA from 1 species